AAAAGUUCCUGGUCUGGUCCACAACUACAUGUACAUGUAUUACAUGGACUUACAUAUACUGUCGAUCAAUAUAAUACAUGUAUACAUUUCCUAUGUAGAUGAUGUAAACUUGCAAAAUGCAAACCUUGGUAGUAUAUAAAGACUUUCAGAAUUAUUUCGUACAGAUAACUCUCAAUUAGAUAUCUCAGUCGCCAAAUUCCAUCAAAAUGAACAAAUCCAUCAUCCUUGUCCUGGUCCCAUGCCUUGUUGCUUUCGUCAUGGCCCAGCAAUACGGAUACCAAUCCGGAUACCAGUCAGGAUACCCAGCUUACUACGGGAAUCAACUUAAUGCUUACACACAACAGACCAGAUUGUACAACUAUGGAAACUCUGCCACAGCUCAACUCCAAGGAGCCAAACUUCUUAACUACUUGUUCGGAUUCUUGCUUCUCUUGGACUUCACAAACGCAACAGGAAACUCAUUGACCAGCAACUUCUUGGGUUAAACUAUAUACUGCUCCAUACAUGUUAAGCUACCGGUUAGAUGAAACUAGAAGAAUACGUUUGUAUACAGCUUGACAUGAAGCAAACCUGACGUUCCUUGUAAAUAGUUCUGCUUUUAGGCAAACUAAGAGAACAUAAGAGUAUAUAAUGUGUCAAAACGGAUGUACAGUAGUUUUGUAAUCAUGUAACAGUUAGCUUUUAAAAUAAAAAUAUAAAUUACUGAUA